rnacentral:rRNA from 1 species
GCGUGAGUGAUGAAGGCCCUAGGGUUGUAAAACUCUUUCGGCGGGGACGAUAAUGACGGUACCCGCAGAAGAAGCUCCGGCUAACUUCGUGCCAGCAGCCGCGGUAAUACGAAGGGGGCUAGCGUUGUUCGGAAUUACUGGGCGUAAAGCGCGCGCAGGCGGCCUUCCAAGUCAGAGGUGAAAGCCCCGAGCUCAACUCGGGAAUUGCCUUUGAAACUGGGAGGCUAGGGUACGGGAGAGGUGAGUGGAAUUCCGAGUGUAGAGGUGAAAUUCGU